AAUCCACCUGGGGAGUACGUUCGCAAGAAUGAAACUCAAAGGAAUUGACGGGGGCCCGCACAAGCGGAGGAACAUGUGGUUUAAUUCGAUGAUACGCGAGGAACCUUACCUGGACUUAAAUGUAUAUUGACCGGUUUAGAAAUAGAUCUUUCCUUCGGGACAAUUUACAAGGUGCUGCAUGGUUGUCGUCAGCUCGUGCCGUGAGGUGUCGGGUUAAGUCCCAUAACGAGCGCAACCCCUAUCGUUAGUUGCUAGCAGGUAAUGCUGAGGACUCUAGCGAGACUGCCACCGUAAGGUGAGAGGAAGGUGGGGAUGACGUCAAAUCAGCACGGCCCUUACGUCCAGGGCUACACACGUGUUACAAUGGCCAGUACAAAGGGCAGCUACCAGGUGACUGGAUGCUAAUCUCUAAAGCUGGUCUCAGUUCGGAUCGGAGUCUGCAACUCGACUCCGUGAAGUUGGAUCCGCUAGUAAUCGUAGAUCAGCAACGCUACGGUGAAUACGUUCCCGGGCCUUGUACACACCGCCCGUCAAGCCAUGGAAGCCGAGGGGACCUGAAGUUCGUAACCGCAAGGAGCGACCUAGGGUAAAAUUGGUAACUAGGGCUAAGUCGUAACAAGGUAGCCG
rnacentral:rRNA from 1 species